CAUGAGGCUGCGUGAGGGAUGGCAGUGGAGCUCUUUUUUAUCCCGUUUUUUUACGGGAUAAAAAAAGCGGGAACGUACAGCCCGACCCGUA
rnacentral:sRNA from 1 species